AUGCAAGUCGAGGGGCAGCGCGGGGCGGCAACGUCCUGGCGGCGACCGGCGGAAGGGUGCGUAACGCGUGAGCGACAUGCCCGUUGCCCGGGGACAACCGGUGGAAAUGCCGACUAAUCCCCGAUGGGAUACGAUGCUUCAUGGCAUUGUAUUGAAAGUUACGGCGGCGACGGAUUGGCUCGCGUCCGAUUAGCUGGUUGGGGGGUAACGGCCACCAAGCUACGAUCGGUAGGGGUUCUGAGAGGAAGGCCCCCACAAUGGGACUGAGACACGGCCCAUACUCC
rnacentral:rRNA from 1 species